GGAAUCAAGCAGCGGAGUCAUUG
rnacentral:rRNA from 1 species